rnacentral:tRNA from 1 species
UAUAGUAAGGUGUUUUGGCAUUUUGUAUUUUGGUUACAAGGGUGAGUUGUUUCUGCUAUAG